CCUGGUUCAUCCUGUCAGUAAUCAUAUGCUUGUCUCAAAGAAUAAGCCAUACAUGUUUUAGUACAAGCUAAAUUAGAGUGAAACCACAAAAACUCAUUUAAUCAGUUAUGGUUCCUUAGAUCGUACCCACAUUUACUUGAAUAACUGUGAUAAUUCUAUAGUUAUACAUGCAAACAGAGCUCCAACCGGAAGCGAAAAGAGUGCUUUUAUUAGAUCAAAAUCAAUCGGCGGGAUAGCACUUUGGUGUUAUUUUUCGUCGCACUGUUUGUUGAUUCUGAAUAACCUUUGGCUGAUAGCACGGUCUUGCACCGGCGACGCAUCUUAAAAAUGUCUGCCUUAUCAACUGUCGAUGGUAGGUAUUGCGCCUACCAUAGUUGUAAUGGGUAAUGAUGAAUCAGGGUUCGAUUCCGGAGCGGGAGCAUGAGAAACGGCUACCACUUCCAAGGAAGACAGCAGACGCGCAAAUUACCCUCUCCCGGCAUGGGGAGGUAGUGACGAAAAAUAACAAUACGGGACUCAUCCAAAGCCCCGUAAUCGGAAUGAGUACACUUUAUGUCCUUUUACAACGACCAACUGGAGGAUUAGUCUGGUACUAGCAGCCGCGGUAUUUCCAGCUCCAAUGACGCAUAUUAAAGUUUUUGCGGUUAAAAAGUUGGUAGUUAAAUCUGUGUUCCGCGCUGUCGGUUCACCGCCUGCGGUGUUAACUGGCACGUCCCGCAGAAUGUUUUGCCCGUUGGUGUAAGAAUUUUUGUAUACUUCGCCUAAUUUAUUAUGCGUGUGCAAACUUUUGUUUUAUAUAUUUCUUGGUAUUUAUUAAUAAAUUUAUUGUGGUUUUAUUAUUUUACUAUCCUAUAUUUUGACAUUUUUUGAUACUGUGUAGUGCCAUAAGGUUCAGGAGUUACAAAUCAUUUCCAUAGCCGACUUAUAAAUUUCUGUCGUGGUGCUCUUAAUUAAGUGUCGAAGCGGACCGGCACUUACAAAUUAGAGUGCUCAAAGCAGGCUAAAAUUUCGCCUGAAUACUGAGUGCAUGGAAAAAUAGAACAGGACUUUGGUUCAAUUUUGAUGGUUUUCAGAAUACCGAGAUAAUGAUUAAUAGGGACAGAUAGGGCAUUCGUGUUGCAACGAUAAAAAAAAAUUCUUGGAUCGUCGCAAGACGGACAGAAGCAAAAGCAUUUGCCAAAAAUGUUUUCAUUUAUUAAGAACGAAAGUCAAAGUUCGAAGGCGAUCAGAUACUGCCCUAGUUCUGAAUAUAAACGAUGCCAGCUAGCGAUGCACCGACGUUGCUCCGAUGACUCGGCGGGCAGCUUCCGGGAAACCAAAGCCUUUAGGUUCCGGGGGAAGUAUGGUUGCAAAGCUGAAAUAUAAAGGAAUUCACGGAAAGGCACCACCAAGAGUGGAGUCUUUGGCUUAAUUUGACUCAACACGGUAAACCCCACCAUGCCCGGACACCGAAAGGGUUGACUAAUUGAGAGCUCUUUCUGGAUUCGGUAAGUGGUGGUAUAUAGCCAUUCUAAGUUGGUGGAGUGAUUUGUCUGGUUAAUUCCGAUAACGAAAGAGACUAAUUUUGUGUGGUGUAUCAUUGUUUCGGCAGUGUACAUUUGCACGUUGUAUGUUUAUUGAAGAAGUUUACGGUUUUUACUACCAGCGUACAUAUAAAUCUUCCUUGAGGGACAGGCGGCUCUUAGCCGCACGAGAUUGAGCAAUAAUAGGUCUGUAAUGCCCUUAGAAGUUCUGGGCUGCACGCGCGCUACACUGAAGGAAUCAGCGUGUUUUUUUUUAGCCGAACGGUCCAGCUACCCCGCUGAGCCUUCUUCGUGCUAGGAAUUGGGGCAAGCAAUUUUUCUCUAUCAACGAGGAAUUCCCAGUAAGCGCGAGUCAUAAGCUCGCGUUAAUUACGUCUUUGCCCUUUGUACAUACCGCCCGUCGCUACUACUGAUUGAAUGAUUUAGUUAGGUCUUCGGACUGGUACGCGGUGACGUUUCUACAUCACUGAUGUCGCUGGGAAUAUGACCAAACUUGAUCAUUUAGAAGAAGUAAAAGUCGUUACAAGGUUUCCGUAGGUUAACCUGCGGAAG
rnacentral:rRNA from 1 species